rnacentral:rRNA from 1 species
GAUGAACGCUGGCGGCGUGCCUAAUACAUGCAAGUCGAGCGAACAGACGAGGAUCUUGCUCCUCUGACGUUAUCGGCGGACGGGUGAGUAACACGUGGAUAACCUACCUAUAAGACUGGGAUAACUUCGGGAAACCGGAGCUAAUACCGGAUAAUAUAUUGAACCGCAUGGUUCAAUAGUGAAAUACGGUUUUGCUGUCACUUAUAGAUGGAUCCGCGCCGCAUUAGCUAGUUGGUAAGGUAACGGCUUACCAAGGCAACGAUGCGUAGCCGACCUGAGAGGAUGAUCGGCCACUCUGGAGCGAGGACACGCACCAAAAUCGUAAGGGAGGCAGGAGUAGGGAACCUACCGCAGGGAGCGAAAGCGUGACGGAGCAACGCCGCGAGAGUGAUGCAGGGCUUCGCAGCGUGAAACAAUAUUAUUAGAGAAGAACAAAUGUGUAAGUAACGAUGCACGUAUGAACGGUACCGAAUAAGAAAGCCACGGUUAACUACGU